rnacentral:rRNA from 1 species
AAACCGUUGAAAGGGAAGCGAAUGGAGUUAGCAAUUCGCUCUGCCACAUUCGAAAUUCUGGCGAGCGAGCGUCAGCGUCGGUUGCUGGCGGGCGACAAGGACACGUGGAAGGUGGACCGGCCUUUACAGUCGGUUGUUAAGCCUCGUGCUCGCAUAGCCCGACGGCGACCGUGGCCCUGCGACGCGUGCCUGGCUGACGACUCGUACCAUCGGUCUGGCAUAACGACCGUGGCGGACUGCACGCCUGUGCCGGUCGAUCGAACGAUGUUCGCACACUACGCGUCGAGGAUGCUGACGGCCAUACGGCUCCAUCCGACCCGUCUUGAAACACGGACCAAGGAGUCUAACAUGUGCGCGAGUCUCCGGGUGAUCGAAACCCGUCGGCGCAAUAAAAGUAAAGAUCGUCCUAGACGAUUGUGAGGUGAGAAGCGAGUGUCAACUCACGUUGAUAUUUUGCGGCAUCAUCGACCCACCUAUUCCGCUCCCGGGAAGGUUUGGGUAAGAGCGUAUCUGUUGGGACCCGAAAGAUGGUGAACUAUCCCUGAAUAGGGUGAAGCCAGCGGAAACGCUGGUGGAAGCUCGUAGCGAUUCUGACGUGCAAAUCGAUCGUCGAAUUUGGGUAUAGUGGCGAAAGACUAAUCGAACCAUCUAGUAGCUGGUUCCCUCCGACG